CGGCGCUUUGAAGCAAAGACGUGCCUGUUUCCCACUGCUCCAAUGCUGGGAAGGGGCACAUAUAUCUUUUGGUACGCCAGGAGCAUUCCUCCAUUGUUACUCAGCCUUUUCUGUGUUUUUAAGAAACCUCUUCCAGCAGCCAAACUGCAAUCCUUGUACUGGUGAUCAGUGCUGCAGUGCUUUCCACGUUGGUGAUCUGCUGGAUCUGUUGCAAAGGCAGGCAGAUCGUCUCUUUGCUCACAGCUUGUACGACCAGUGCAGAUGCCAGUGCUGAGUGCACGACGGUGUAUGCCCAGGUGGGCUUCUCUCGGCAGGAUCACAUGCAGCAUUUCUCUAAUGCAGAGAAAAAUGAUGCAAAGACGACGCCGGCUACCAGUGAGGAAACCUCUAAAACUAUCUAUUCCACGGUGCAGGCCAUGGCCCAGGUGAGUCGCUACUAGCUGCCUUCCCUGGCCAGGCAGCGCGGCUGCUGGGAUGAGAAACUUAGCCACGGCGCAAAGGGCAGCACCCCGUUGGGUGCCGCUGCUCGGCCAGAAAGUGCCCAAACAUCUGCCCAGCACAGCGGUGCCUCUCUGCAGCUGCAAAUGGACGAUGAGAAGAUCUGCAAAAGCGUCCCGGGGCACCUGGAGCAGGGGGAGAAAAGCCUCUGCGUGGUGGUGAGCACGGUGCCAGCCCUGCAUGGCUCCAUGGGGCUGCUCUGAGCCUGGCUCCUCCUGGUGCUGCUGUUGGCUCGUGCACCGACAUCCCUCAAACCAGGCUGCCACCGACCUGCCUUUUGGGAAAGGACUCAGCCACAGCGGGAGGAUGCCUGCACCUAGGGAGAGACGCGUGUGCUGAGAUGCAGCUCUGCCUGUACUUUAGCAUCCGCCUGGGGUUCGGGCUCCUUCUUCUGUCCUCUAUGAGCAGAGCAAGGGACAUGCAACAAAAUGGU